CUUCUUCUUGCAGGAUGUGAGAAGAAAUUAUCCACUUGCCUUCAUCCACCAAAUUUAUUUCCCGUGAUCUGCAUCAACUUUGCUUGAUUAACUUUCGUCUCCAAAAAACAAAAAGCAUCAAUAUUGUGUUGCUUAAUGAGGUGACGUGCACCUUUUUUUUCAGGGGUAUAUUGAAUCCCCUGAUAUUCCAAAACAUCACUUUCAUGAUGAUAUGCUGCCCUUCCUUGUAUCCUUCUUAGUGGUUUCGUUAGGUAAUUCAUCCAACUUCCCUU
rnacentral:lncRNA from 1 species